rnacentral:lncRNA from 1 species
AUGCUAGAGAGGCAGCAGAAGAAUGAGUAGUUGCGAGAUAGAGAGAGGAAGGGAGUCUCCAUCAAGGCUCCGGUAACGUAUUCGGGUCGUGCAGCGCAUCAAUAGACGGUACAGAGGACGAUGAUCCUCGUGGUGAUGUUCGUUUCCCUGAUUGUUAAAGCGGUGUUGGUUCAACCGACAUCACACCGUCGACUAGGGUUCAUAACUUGAGUGGAAAAUAACGCUGCUAUCGGUGGUGUUUGUUCAACCGAUUAUGGUUCGAGUGACACCACACAUCGUCGGCUAGGGUUCAUACAUGGGUUGGCGACUGAGGUCCAAGUGAUGGUUGCUCCGACGAAGGGUGAGCCUAUUUGAGGCAAUCCUCGAUUGUUAAGGGACUGUGACGGUGGUUCUCGGUGACUGGACGACUUGAACCAUCAGAGGCUUAGGAACCGUUUAUGUCAGUUUCUUCCGGCCUGUGUUGGAUACAGUAAUAAAUAAUUGUGUGGAAAAAUGAUUAUUUCAUUCUUGCUGCUCUCUACGAGUCGUUUCGGUAGCUGCGCUGUAGGAAAAAGGCUGUCAAAGUAAAAUGGAUCAUGGGCUGAAUGAAUCGUCAUAUUAGUAGUACAAAUUCGUCCUUCAUAAGGCGAUCGUUAAAUCGAUAUGGAUCUAGCCACCAUGAAAUUGACGACGAUAGUGUCUUAGAGGCAGGAGAUAUUGGAGAAAGGGCACUAAGUAGUCGAAGGUAUUGUGUGUGGUCGGUAUAGGUUUUCUUUCGAUAACCCCGUAGAAACUGUGGGUUUACCUAUUCAAGAACCUUCGUUUAAAGAGUCACAGCUUCCGACCGCAUCUCCUACUUCACCGGAUGCAAUACUACUUGGAAUGCAAGAAGGAGUUGCCAUGGUAUUUGGCAUAUAUAUCAUCUCAUGUUCAUCUUGCUGUACUUGGCAUUCUUGGGGUAAUGUUCAAAUUACUAUUGUUAGUGGUGGAUCCAGGAACUUUUUCCUAUGGGUUCACUUUUUUUGUUGAUCAAAGUUUCACAACCAUAUGUUAGGGUUUUCGGGCUAGGUCGGGUCACUUUUUUUUGGCGGCCAACUUUUUCGGUUCAGUACUUCAAUCUCUUUAAAUUCAUAAAUCAUAUAUUGAAAAUGAAACUUGAAUACAGUGAAAUUAUUUUAAACUUUGAAAAUUGAGAAUAAACUAAUAGGAACGAUGAUUUAAAGUUUUAAAGUUAAAAAAAUCAAACUAUUAGCACAUUACACGUUAAUCAUCAGUCAACAUCAUUGUAUAUUUAGACAUUAUCAUCUAAAGAAACACAAUUUUUAUUCCAUCAUCUUUUUACCAUAUUAUAAAAAGUUUAUAUCUAAUGAUUUCACCCAUCUCCUGCCCCUCUCACCUAUUCUUAAUUUGCGAUUAGGUUGCUUUUUUUUUUACUUUGCUAUUUUGUCAAUGUAUGGGGACUGUCGGUAAAAAAAAUGGGUUUAGGAGAUGAUAAUCAAGAAUCGAACUCGGAACCUCUUGCUUAAAGAGGAGGCGCUACACCAUUGAAACAACUUAUAUACUUUUAUAAUGGGUUCACCCUUAAUUUAUUUAUGGGUUCCUUUCUAUGAUUUCUUUAUACAUUUAUAAAAAAAAAAAAAAAAAAAAUUCAAACCGAAUGGGUUUCUGGGAACCCGAUCAU